rnacentral:rRNA from 1 species
UACGAACUGUGCAAACGUUAUUCGGAAUCACUGGGCUUAAAGGGUGCGUAGGCGGUCUUGAAAGUAGGGUGUGAAAGCCCCCGGCUCAACCGGGGAACUGCGUCCUAAACUGCGAGGCUGGAGUGAGGCAGGGGUGUGUGGAACUUCCAGUGGAGCGGUGAAAUGUGUUGAUAUUGGAAGGAACGCCGGUGGCGAAAGCGACACACUGGGCCUUGUCUGACGCUGAGGCACGAAAGCCAGGGGAGCGAACGGG